CCCUACUAUUGAAUUCAUUUGGGAAAAAAAGGGUUUUCUCUCGUCUUAAUUGUUAUAGUAAGUGUUUAUGUUUUUACAAAUUGUAUAUUUGAAUAUGUUUUUAAUUAAUAAGUGCUUUGACAUAUUUUUGUUCAUUUGGCUGUCUCAGUAGCCUAAAGCAUUUGAAUUAGUGAGUUUUAUAUUGUGAUUUUUAGGUAUCCAGUAGUAUUUUUAACUUUGUAUUAUCAUCAUGUAUAAC
rnacentral:lncRNA from 1 species